rnacentral:rRNA from 1 species
UAGGGAGGGGGAUAGCGUUGCUCGGAAUUACUGGGCGUAAAGCGCACGUAGGCGGAUUGUUAAGUCGGGGGUGAAAUCCCGGGGCUCAACCCCGGAAUGGCCUCCGAUACUGGCAAUCUUGAGGUCGGGCGAGGUGAGUGGAAUGGCGAGUGUAGAGGUGAAAUUCGUAGAUAUUCGCCGGAACACCAGUGGCGAAGGCGGCUCACUGGCCCGAUACUGACGCUGAGGUGAGACAGCGUGGGGAGCAAACAGG